AAUAUUGGACAAUGGGGGCAACCCUGUUCCAGCCAUGCGGCGUGUGUGAAGAAGGUCUUCGGAUUGUAAAGCACUUUAAGUUGGGAGGAAGGGCUUUAGGCUAAUACCCUGAAGUUUUGACGUUACCAACAGAAUAAUCACCGGCUAACUUUGUGCCAGCAGCAGCGGUAAUACAGAGGGUGCAAGCGUUAAUCGGAAGUACUGGGUGUAAAACGCGCGUAGGUGGUUCAAUAGGAUGGGAGUGAAAAACCCGGGCUUAACAUGGGAACUGCUUUCAUAACUGCUGAGCUAGAGUACGCUAGAGGGUAGUGGAAUUUCCUGUGUGGCGGUGAAAUGCGUAGAUAUAGGAAGGAACACCAGUGGCGAAAGCGACUACCUGGACUGAUACUGACACUGAGGUGCGAAAGCGUGGGGAGCAAACA
rnacentral:rRNA from 1 species